CGGGACACGUGGUAUCCUGUCUGAAUAUGGGGGGACCAUCCUCCAAGGCUAAAUACUCCUGACUGACCGAUAGUGAACCAGUACCGUGAGGGAAAGGCGAAAAGAACCCCGGCGAGGGGAGUGAAAAAGAACCUGAAACCGUGUACGUACAAGCAGUGGGAGCCUCUUUAUGGGGUGACUGCGUACCUUUUGUAUAAUGGGUCAGCGACUUAUAUUCUGUAGCAAGGUUAACCGAAUAGGGGAGCCGAAGGGAAACCGAGUCUUAACUGGGCGUUAAGUUGCAGGGUAUAGACCCGAAACCCGGUGAUCUAGCCAUGGGCAGGUUGAAGGUUGGGUAACACUAACUGGAGGACCGAACCGACUAAUGUUGAAAAAUUAGCGGAUGACUUGUGGCUGGGGGUGAAAGGCCAAUCAAACCGGGAGAUAGCUGGUUCUCCCCGAAAGCUAUUUAGGUAGCGCCUCGUGAAUUCAUCUCCGGGGGUAGAGCACUGUUUCGGCAAGGGGGUCAUCCCGACUUACCAACCCGAUGCAAACUGCGAAUACCGGAGAAUGUUAUCACGGGAGACACACGGCGGGUGCUAACGUCCGUCGUGAAGAGGGAAACAACCCAGACCGCCAGCUAAGGUCCCAAAGUCAUGGUUAAGUGGGAAACGAUGUGGGAAGGCCCAGACAGCCAGGAUGUUGGCUUAGAAGCAGCCAUCAUUUAAAGAAAGCGUAAUAGCUCACUGGUCGAGUCGGCCUGCGCGGAAGAUGUAACGGGGCUAAACCAUGCACCGAAGCUGCGGCAGCGACACUAUGUGUUGUUGGGUAGGGGAGCGUUCUGUAAGCCUGCGAAGGUGUACUGUGAGGUAUGCUGGAGGUAUCAGAAGUGCGAAUGCUGACAUAAGUAACGAUAAAGCGGGUGAAAAGCCCGCUCGCCGGAAGACCAAGGGUUCCUGUCCAACGUUAAUCGGGGCAGGGUGAGUCGACCCCUAAGGCGAGGCCGAAAGGCGUAGUCGAUGGGAAACAGGUUAAUAUUCCUGUACU
rnacentral:rRNA from 1 species